rnacentral:rRNA from 1 species
UACGUAGGGAGCAAGCGUUGUCCGGAAUCAUUGGGCGUAAAGCGCGCGUAGGUGGCCAUUUAAGUCCGCUGUGAAAGUCAAAGGCUCAACCUUUGAAAGCCGGUGGAUACUGGAUGGCUAUAGUACGGAAGAGGCGAGUGGAAUUCCUGGUGUAGCGGUGGAAUGCGCAGAUAUCAGGAGGAACACCAAUAGCGAAGGCAGCUCGCUGGGACGUUACUGACACUGAGGCGCGAAAGCGUGGGGAGCGAACAGG